UUGGAAACGGCGACGGCGGACAAGAAGGGGCAGGCGGCAGACUGUUGCCGCAGAGCGGAGGGGGGAGAGCGGC
rnacentral:SRP_RNA from 1 species